AGUGAACGCUGGCGGUAGGCCUAACACAUGCAAGUCGAACGGCAGCACAGUAAGAGCUUGCUCUUACGGGUGGCGAGUGGCGGACGGGUGAGGAAUACAUCGGAAUCUACUUUUUCGUGGGGGAUAACGUAGGGAAACUUACGCUAAUACCGCAUACGACCUACGGGUGAAAGCAGGGGAUCUUCGGACCUUGCGCGAUUGAAUGAGCCGAUGUCGGAUUAGCUAGUUGGCGGGAUAAAGGCCCACCAAGGCGACGAUCCGUAGCUGGUCUGAGAGGAUGAUCAGCCACACUGGAACUGAGACACGGUCCAGACUCCUACGGGAGGCAGCAGUGGGGAAUAUUGGACAAUGGGCGCAAGCCUGAUCCAGCCAUACCGCGUGGGUGAAGAAGGCCUUCGGGUUGUAAAGCCCUUUUGUUGGGAAAGAAAAGCAGCAGGUUAAUACCCAGCUGUUCUGACGGUACCCAAAGAAUAAGCACCGGCUAACUUCGUG
rnacentral:rRNA from 1 species